rnacentral:rRNA from 1 species
GUUAUAUGGUCAAGCGAAUAAGCGCACACGGUGGAUGCCUUGGCGGUCAGAGGCGAUGAAGGACGUGGCAGCCUGCGAAAAGUGUCGGGGAGCUGGCAACAAGCUUUGAUCCGGCAAUGUCCGAAUGGGGAAACCCACUGCUUCGGCAGUAUCCUGCAGUGAAUACAUAGCUGCUGGAAGCGAACCCGGUGAACUGAAAUAUCUAAGUAACCGGAGGAAAAGAAAUCAACCGAGAUUCCCUAAGUAGUGACGAGCGAACGGGGACUAGCCCUUAAGCUGGUAUGGUUCUAGAAAAACAACCUGGAAAGGUUGGCCAUAGAAGGUGAUAGCCCUGUAUUUAAAAGGGCCAUUCCAGUGAAGACGAGUAGGGCGGGGCACGUGAAACCCUGUCUGAACAUGGGGGGACCAUCCUCCAAGGCUAAAUACUCCUGACCGACCGAUAGUGAACCAGUACCGUGAGGGAAAGGCGAAAAGAACCCCGGAGAGGGGAGUGAAAUAGAUCCUGAAACCGUGUGCGUACAAGCAGUAGGAGCUCGCAAGAGUGACUGCGUACCUUUUGUAUAAUGGGUCAGCGACUUACUGUUCGUGGCAAGCUUAACCGUAUAGGGGAGGCGAAGGGAAACCGAGUCUGAUAAGGGCGCAUAGUCGCGGGCAGUAGACCCGAAACCGGGUGAUCUAGUCAUGCCCAGGGUGAAGGUCAGGUAACACUGACUGGAGGCCCGAACCCACUCCCGUUGCAAAGGUAGGGGAUGAGGUGUGAUUAGGAGUGAAAAGCUAAUCGAACCCGGAGAUAGCUGGUUCUCCUCGAAAGCUAUUUAGGUAGCGCCUCGGACGAAUACUGCUGGGGGUAGAGCACUGUUAUGGCUAGGGGGUCAUCGCGACUUACCAAACCAUUGCAAACUCCGAAUACCAGUACGUACUAUCCGGGAGACACACGGCGGGUGCUAACGUCCGUCGUGAAAAGGGAAACAACCCAGACCCACAGCUAAGGUCCCAAAUUCACUGCUAAGUGGAAAACGAUGUGGAAAGGCACAGACAGCCAGGAGGUUGGCUUAGAAGCAGCCACCCUUUAAAGAAAGCGUAAUAGCUCACUGGUCGAGUCGGUCUGCGCGGAAGAUUUAACGGGGCUAAGCAGUGAACCGAAGCUUGGGGUGCAUCGCGAUAAGCGAUGCGCGGUAGAGGAGCGUUCCGUAAGCCGUUGAAGGUGGAUUGAAAAGUCCGCUGGAGGUAUCGGAAGUGCGAAUGCUGACAUGAGUAACGAUAAUGCGGGUGAAAAACCCGCACGCCGAAAGCCCAAGGUUUCCUUGCGCAACGUUAAUCGGCGCAGGGUGAGUCGGCCCCUAAGGCGAGGGCGAAAGCCGUAGUCGAUGGGAAGCAGGUUAAUAUUCCUGCACCUCGCGUAAGUGCGAUGGAGGGACGGAGAAGGUUAGGUGUACCGGGCGUUGGUUGUCCCGGGGAAAGGCGGUAGGUUUGGAUCUUUGGCAAAUCCGGGAUCCUUUAAGACCGAGCACCGAGACGAGUCUUUUAGACGAAGUCACUGAUACCACGCUUCCAGGAAAAGCUCCUAAGCUUCAGCUUACGCAGACCGUACCGUAAACCGACACAGGUGGGUAGGAUGAGAAUUCUCAGGCGCUUGAGAGAACUCGGGUGAAGGAACUAGGCAACAUGGCACCGUAACUUCGGGAGAAGGUGCACCCUUUUUGGUGGCUCAUGCGAGCUAUAGCUGAAGAGGGUCGCAGAAACCAGGCCGCUGCGACUGUUUAUCAAAAACACAGCACUCUGCAAACACGAAAGUGGACGUAUAGGGUGUGACGCCUGCCCGGUGCUGGAAGGUUAAUUGAUGGGGUCAGCCGCAAGGCGAAGCUCUUGAUCGAAGCCCCAGUAAACGGCGGCCGUAACUAUAACGGUCCUAAGGUAGCGAAAUUCCUUGUCGGGUAAGUUCCGACCUGCACGAAUGGCGUAACGACAGCGGCGCUGUCUCCACCCGAGACUCAGUGAAAUUGAAAUCGCUGUGAAGAUGCAGCGUUCCCGUGGCAAGACGGAAAGACCCCGUGAACCUUUACUAUAGCUUUACACUGAACGUUGAGUUCGUCUGUGUAGGAUAGGUGGGAGGCUAUGAAACCAUGGCGCUAGCUGUGGUGGAGCCAACCUUGAAAUACCACCCUGUCGUGCUUGACGUUCUAACCUAGGUCCGUUAUCCGGAUCAGGGACCGUGUAUGGUGGGUAGUUUGACUGGGGCGGUCUCCUCCUAAAGAGUAACGGAGGAGCACGAAGGUACGCUCAGCGCGGUCGGACAUCGCGCACUGUGUGCAAAGGCAUAAGCGUGCUUGACUGCAAGAUCGACGGAUCAAGCAGGUACGAAAGUAGGUCUUAGUGAUCCGGUGGUUCUGUAUGGAAGGGCCAUCGCUCAACGGAUAAAAGGUACUCCGGGGAUAACAGGCUGAUACCGCCCAAGAGUUCAUAUCGACGGCGGUGUUUGGCACCUCGAUGUCGGCUCAUCACAUCCUGGGGCUGUAGUCGGUCCCAAGGGUAUGGCUGUUCGCCAUUUAAAGUGGUACGCGAGCUGGGUUCAGAACGUCGUGAGACAGUUCGGUCCCUAUCUGCCAUGGGCGUUGGAAGUUUGAGAGGGGCUGCUCCUAGUACGAGAGGACCGGAGUGGACGAACCUCUGGUGUUCCGGUUGUCACGCCAGUGGCAUUGCCGGGUAGCUAUGUUCGGAAGCGAUAACCGCUGAAAGCAUCUAAGCGGGAAGCGCGCCUCAAGAUGAGACUUCCCGGGGCACAAGCCCCCUUAAGGAACCAUGUAGACUACGUGGUUGAUAGGUCAGGUGUGUAAGUGCAGCAAUGCAUUGAGCUAACUGAUACUAAUGAUCCGUGCGGCUUGACCAUAUAACCUCAAGG